rnacentral:rRNA from 1 species
CAGUCGCCGCGGGAAUACGUAGGUGGCAAGCGUUGUCCGGAAUUAUUGGGCGUAAAGGGCUCGCAGGCGGUUUCUUAAGUCUGAUGUGAAAGCCCCCGGCUCAACCGGGGAGGGUCAUUGGAAACUGGGAAACUUGAGUGCAGAAGAGGAGAGUGGAAUUCCACGUGUAGCGGUGAAAUGCGUAGAGAUGUGGAGGAACACCAGUAGCGAAGGCGACUCUCUGGUCUGUAACUGACGCUGAGGAGCGAAAGCGUGGGGAGCGAACAGGAUUAGAUACCCCCGUAGUCCCUGUCUCUUAUAC